rnacentral:lncRNA from 1 species
AACUCUCAGCACACUUGUUCAUCUAUAUUACUUAUUUACUUCUGUGUGUUGAGCCCAAAUCUGCCAACAUGUGACUUCCAUCCUUUGAUCUCAUUUUCUGGGAGCAACACAAAAAAAAUGUGGCUUCCUUGAAAGUUCUUCAUGUAUUUAAAGAUCACUCUCAAGCCUGCAGUCAACCUGGAGUAGGCAGAUGAAGCAGCUGGGGAAAAGACCUCUUGACCUACCAACAAACAGUCACUGACACUGUCAAGUUCAGAGGUGGUGAGAGACACAGAUUGCAGGUAUCUUUGUAAGUUCCAAUUCGUCCCCCACACCAGGUUCAGCUUGUCUUUACUCUCCCCUGAGUCACUUCGAGUUUGGUUCUACUGAUCUACAGGAAGCUUCUUCCCACCACUGAAUUCAAGGGACAGUCUUCCCAUAUGUCUUUACCAGCUCUCGCAAAUGAAGACAGAGCCUGUCUAUGUCAUUCAGACUGGCCUCAAACUCCAGGGCUCAACAAAGCCUCCUGCCUCAACUUCCCCAGUAGCUGGGACUACAGCAAAUAUCUUCCACUGAGAUCGUGUGGUUUUAAUCAUACAAGGAGAGUGGCAGAAGAACAGAAAGAUUGAAACCAAGGACAGAGAACACCUGAAAUUGCUUCAGGGUCAUAUGUCACAGCGCUGGGCAUUUCAUUUGGGUAUCUAUCAUCAUUCCCAUUCUGCAAUGAGGAAAUGCUGUCAGAGUGAUUAAGUAAUUUGCCCAUGGUCUCACAUAGAAGCCUGUCUUCUCCAGGGAACACAGCACUCAGAAUCGUCUCGGCCCCUGCAUAAGCCUGCAUGAGCCUGGGCUCUGGGGACCCAUCCUGGUGCAUCAUUCGUUGGCUCUGUGACAAUGGGCACAUCGUUUAACCUCUCUUGGCUUCAUUCUCCUUACUGGAAUGAUGGAGAGAGUUUUGCCUAUUUCAGAGGCUUGCUCUUCUAUACGUGAGCCUAUAAGUAACUUGUCUUAAGAAUUUCCACUCCUUCUGUACUCUGAUUUAAAUUUGAAGGCAUCAAAACAAAAACAAUCAAGAUUUCAGAUUCCAAAUACUUUCAUUUUCAUUUUUUAUUUUGAUUAGAAUUUCUUCUGAAUGAAUUUCUGUUUUGUAAUUUUAGCAUUGCCCUGAGGGGGGGAAAAGGCAGUUUAUCACCAUGCAGUAUAUUUUUCAGACAGCCUCUCUUUGACAAACUGAUUUUUGUCAGUCUCAACUGACUCACCAAUUCCAAAUCCCAGGGCUUCCCUGGGAAACUUCCUUGGAUCAUGGCUCUGCCACACAGGACCGACAUCCCAGAGGCCAAAGCAACCUGCUAUAAACUGAGAUCAUUGCUCAGCAAGCUGGUACCACAUGCAAGGAGUCUCAAGAGCUAACAGGAAAUGAUUCAAGACCAGAAUUACCCAGAACAAGUGUGUUAGCUUCCUCUGCGCAUGGGAUAAUAAGGAGCUUGCAUCACCAACCUUCCGUGAAUAGCCUACUCAGUGAUUCAACAGGUUUCAAAAUUGUGAAA